rnacentral:lncRNA from 1 species
CCGUACGUAAGUGCGCUCUCUCCGGUGGGUACAUUAAGGGCUAUCUGCAAUUUCCUUUUAACAGUGUGGGCAUUGUCUCCACGGUCUAAUUCGAUGCCCAACACACAGCCGGUAUCAGUUUGGACAAAUACGCGUUUCCAACUAGCAGGUCUUCCCUCGCUCUUGUUCUUGCCGUGAUAUUCGCUGCUGAAGGAGUGGUUCAAAACUUCGACAGCCAUCUGUGUCUGAACAGGGCUAUCCAAGUUAGGAGACAUGGAACAGAAGAGCUGAGGAAGUGAGGUCGGCAAAAACGAUGGGCAAAGGCAGAGAAGAAGCACUUCUUCCUUCUCCUCUUUCUCAAGUGAAGAUCGGGCACUGAUGUAGGUGCAGAUAUAUAGAGAGGAA